GAUGAACGCUAGCGGGAGGCUUAACACAUGCAAGUCGAGGGGCAGCACGAGGUAGCAAUACUUUGGUGGCGACCGGCGCACGGGUGAGUAACGCGUAUGCAACCUACCCUGUACAGGGGGGAUAGCCCGGAGAAAUUCGGAUUAAUACCCCAUAAUGAUAUCGAGAGGCAUCUUUUGAUAUUUAAAGUUUCGGCGGUACGGGAUGGGCAUGCGUGACAUUAGCUAGUUGGUAGGGUAACGGCCUACCAAGGCUGCGAUGUCUAGGAGGUCCUGAGAGGGUGACUCCCCCACACUGGUACUGAGACACGGACCAGACACCGUACGGGUGGCUG
rnacentral:rRNA from 1 species